rnacentral:rRNA from 1 species
GACGAACGCUGGCGGCGUGCUUAACACAUGCCAGUCGAACGGAAAGGCCCUGCUUUUGUGGGGUGCUCGAGUGGCGAACGGGUGAGUAACACGUGAGUAACCUGCCCUUGACUUUGGGAUAACUUCAGGAAACUGGGGCUAAUACCGGAUAGGAGCUCCUGCUGCAUGUGGGGGGUGGGAAAGUUCCGGCGGUUGGGGAUGGACUCGCGGCUUAUCAGCUUGUUGGUGGGGUAGUGGCUUACCAAGGCUUUGACGGGUAGCCGGCCUGAGAGGGUGACCGGCCACAUUGGGACUGAGAUACGGCCCAGACUCCUACGGGAGGCAGCAGUGGGGAAUAUUGCACAAUGGGCGGAAGCCUGAUGCAGCAACGCCGCGUGCGGGAUGACGGCCUUCGGGUUGUAAACCGCUUUCGCCUGUGACGAAGCGUGAGUGACGGUAAUGGGUAAAGAAGCACCGGCUAACUACGUG